GACGAACGCUGGCGGCGUGCUUAACACAUGCAAGUCGAACGGAAAGGCCCUGCUUUUGUGGGGUGCUCGAGUGGCGAACGGGUGAGUAACACGUGAGUAACCUGACCUUGACUUUGGGAUAACUUCAGGAAACUGGGGCUAAUACCGGAUAGGAGCUCCUGCUGCAUGGUGGGGGUUGGAAAGUUUCGGCGGUUGGGGAUGGACUCGCGGCUUAUCAGCUUGUUGGUGGGGUAGUGGCUUACCAAGGCUUUGACGGGUAGCCGGCCUGAGAGGGUGACCGGCCCCAUUGGGACUGAGAUACGGCCCAGACGCCUACGGGAGGCAGCAGUGGGGAAUAUUGCACAAUGGGCGGAAGCCGGAUGCAGCAACGCCGCGUGCGGGAUGACGGCCUUCGGGUUGUAAACCGCUUUCGCCUGUGACGAAGCGUGAGUGACGGUAAUGGGUAAAGAAGCACCGGCUAACUACGUG
rnacentral:rRNA from 1 species